rnacentral:rRNA from 1 species
UACAGAGGGGGCAAGCGUUGUUCGGAAUUACUGGGCGUAAAGGGCGCGUAGGUGGCCUUCUAAGUUGAACGUGAAAUCCCUGGGCUCAACCCAGGAACUGCGUCCAAGACUGGGAGGCUUGAAUCCGGGAGAGGGAUGCGGAAUUCCAGGUGUAGCGGUGAAAUGCGUAGAUAUCUGGAGGAACACCGGUGGCGAAGGCGACAUCCUGGACCGGUACUGACGCUGAGACGCGAAAGCCAGGGGAGCAAACGGG